UUAAAUGGCUGCAGUAAUAUAACUGUACAAAGGUAGCAUAAUCAUUAGUUUUUUAAUUAAAAGCUUGUAUGAAAGGUUGGACGAAGUAAAAUCUGUCUCUUUUUAAUAUAAUUAGAAUUUAAUUUUUAAGUAAAAAAGCUUAAAUUUAUAUAAAAGACGAGAAGACCCUAUAGAGUUUAAUAAUUUAUUUUAAAUAAUUAAUUUAGAUUUAUUUAUUUUAUUUAUUAUAUAAUUAUUUUAUUGGGGUAAUAAAAAGAUUAAUAUAAUUCUUUUUUUUAUAUAACAUUAAUAUAUGAAUUAAAUGAUCCAUUUUUUAUGAUUAAAAG
rnacentral:rRNA from 1 species